rnacentral:rRNA from 1 species
UGGGGAAUAUUGCACAAUGGGCGCAAGCCUGAUGCAGCCAUGCCGCGUGUAUGAAGAAGGCCUUCGGGUUGUAAAGUACUUUCAGCGGGGAGGAAGGCGUUAAGGUUAAUAACCUUGGCGAUUGACGUUACCCGCAGAAGAAGCACCGGCUAACUCCGUGCCAGCAGCCGCGGUAAUACGGAGGGUGCAAGCGUUAAUCGGAAUUACUGGGCGUAAAGCGCACGCAGGCGGUCUGUCAAGUCGGAUGUGAAAUCCCCGGGCGCAACCUGGGAACUGCAUUCGAAACUGGCAGGCUAGAGUCUUGUAGAGGGGGGUAGAAUUCCAGGUGUAGCGGUGAAAUGCGUAGAGAUCUGGAGGAAUACCGGUGGCGAAGGCGGCCCCCUGGACAAAGACUGACGCUCAGGUGCGAAAGCGUGGGGAGCAAACAGG